GCUUUUGUUUCCGGCAGAAGUUAACCUGAUGUCUUCUUUGUUUCAGACCGAGAGGACCAGUCCAUUCUGUGCACGGGUGAGUCUGGAGCCGGCAAGACGGAGAACACCAAGAAAGUCAUUCAGUACCUGGCUCACGUGGCCUCCUCACACAAGAGCAAGAAGGACCAGCAGUGUCCUCACUAGGUGAGCUUGCACGUUUACUGCACGUUCUGCACCAGGAAUGCGUGUUCUGCCCAUCGUGUGCCCUUGAUUUAUGUCUUUUCUCCUGAGCAGCUUUUCACUCCACACCGUUGUCACCUUCUGCGGCUAGACCUGUCCUCGUAGGCUCGGCUCACUGACUGUCUUGGGAGGAGGGGCUGGGUGUGACACGCGGUGACCUCUCGUGCACUCUGAAAUGACAGCCCCCGCAGAGCGGGUUCGGGCCCCAUCGCCGGAGCCGUUCUCGGAAACUCUGGUCGUGCCCAGAGCUCCCUGUGCCCACGGCAGCUGUAAGGCCCCGGUGCAGAACCCUGA